GAUGAACGCUGGCGGCGUGCCUAAUACAUGCAAGUCGAGCGAACAGACGAGGAGCUUGCUCCUCUGACGUUAGCGGCGGACGGGUGAGUAACACGUGGAUAACCUACCUAUAAGACUGGGAUAACUUCGGGAAACCGGAGCUAAUACCGGAUAAUAUAUUGAACCGCAUGGUUCAAUAGUGAAAGACGGUUUUGCUGUCACUUAUAGAUGGAUCCGCGCCGCAUUAGCUAGUUGGUAAGGUAUCGGCUUACCAAGGCGACGAUGCGUAGCCGACCUGAGAGGGUGAUCGGCCACACUGGAACGGAGACACGGUCCAGACUCCUACGGGAGGCAGCAGUAGGGAAUCUUCCGCAAUGGGCGAAAGCCUGACGGAGCAACGCCGCGUGAGUGAUGAAGGUCUUCGGAUCGUAAAACUCUGUUAUUAGGGAAGAACAAAUGUGUAAGUAACUAUGCACGUCUUGACGGUACCUAAUCAGAAAGCCACGGCUAACUACGUG
rnacentral:rRNA from 1 species